AGAGUUUGAUCCUGGCUCAGGAUGAACGCUAGCUACAGGCUUAACACAUGCAAGUCGAGGGGCAGCAUUUCAUUUUGCUUGCAAAGUGAAGAUGGCGACCGGCGCACGGGUGAGUAACACGUAUCCAACCUGCCGAUAACUCGGGGAUAGCCUUUCGAAAGAAAGAUUAAUAUCCGAUAGCAUAUCAAUCCCGCAUGAGAUUGAUAUUAAAGAAUUUCGGUUAUCGAUGGGGAUGCGUUCCAUUAGUUUGUUGGCGGGGUAACGGCCCACCAAGACUACGAUGGAUAGGGGUUCUGAGAGGAAGGUCCCCCACAUUGGAACUGAGACACGGUCCAAACUCCUACGGGAGGCAGCAGUGAGGAAUAUUGGUCAAUGGACGUAAGUCUGAACCAGCCAAGUAGCGUGAAGGAUGACUGCCCUAUGGGUUGUAAACUUCUUUUAUAUGGGAAUAAAGUAUUCCACGUGUGGAAUUUUGUAUGUACCAUAUGAAUAAGGAUCGGCUAACUCCGUGCCAGCAGCCGCGGUAAUACGGAGGAUCCGAGCGUUAUCCGGAUUUAUUGGGUUUAAAGGGAGCGUAGGUGGAUUGUUAAGUCAGUUGUGAAAGUUUGCGGCUCAACCGUAAAAUUGCAGUUGAAACUGGCAGUCUUGAGUACAGUAGAGGUGGGCGGAAUUCGUGGUGUAGCGGUGAAAUGCUUAGAUAUCACGAAGAACUCCGAUUGCGAAGGCAGCUCACUAGACUGUCACUGACACUGAUGCUCGAAAGUGUGGGUAUCAAACAGGAUUAGAUACCCUGGUAGUCCACACAGUAAACGAUGAAUACUCGCUGUUUGCGAUAUACAGUAAGCGGCCAAGCGAAAGCAUUAAGUAUUCCACCU
rnacentral:rRNA from 1 species